CACGCUCCGGGCCUUUUUGGGUAAGAUCAAUGUAGUAUCUGUUCUUAUCAGUUUAAUAUCUGAUACGCCCCAUCUGGGGACCAUAUAUUAAAUUGAUUUUGGAACAGGGAGAUGGAAUAGGGCUUGCUUCCCCUUUCCCCCAACGAUCGACCUGGUAUUGCAGUACUCCAGGAGGCACUUUUCCUUA